AAAGGUUGGGGUAGGUUACUCGUAGGUCUUCCUCCUUCUCCCACGUCGCCUCACGAACUGAGUGGUUCUUCCAUUGCACUUUGCAGAACCGAAUGGUCCUUGUCCUGAGCUUGCGGUCUUCAACUUCUAAGAUCUUCAAUGGUCGUUCUUCAUACGUCAGGGUCUUUUGGAGAUAGGUGAUGCCCCAGGCAUUAAAACAAUGCUGAACUCUAACUCCCUAUCAGGCGGCAUACCCGGCAGUUCAUCCGGAAAUACAUCAGGAAACUCACAAACUACAGGUCUGCUGAAAAUUUGGUGUUGUGGAUUAUUAUUGGUUGAUUUCUGCGCAUUGCCUCUACUGUAAUCUUCCCUCCAGAUCGGCGCCGCCGCCAGCGACGGGAAAGAUGCCGCUGCUAGAUCCUCCACACUCUCUCUCCCCUG